rnacentral:rRNA from 1 species
AGAGUUUGAUCCUGGCUCAGAUUGAACGCUGGCGGCGUGGUUAAAGCAUGCAAGUCGAGCGAACCCGCAAGGGUGAGCGGCGAAAGGGUCAGUAAUACGAUCGAACGUGCCCCGAGGUGAGGGAUAGCGGUGGGAAACUGCCGGUAAUACCUCAUGAUCUCUCCGGAGCAAAGGUUUACCGCCUUGGGAUCGGCGAUCGUCCUAUCAGCUAGUUGGCGGGGUAAUGGCCCACCAAGGCUAUGACGGGUAGCAGGUGUGAGAGCACGACCUGCGACAUCGAAACUGAGACACUGUUCGGACUCCUACGGGAGGCAGC